UUCAACAGUGGGGCCUUGUGGACUUCAGAAGGAACUGCCCCUCCCAGGGUUACCUGAGUCCUGCAGAUAGCAAAUGACUUGCUGCUGGGCGUGCCUUGGCUCUGCAAGCUGACCAGUCCACAGCCCGGACACGAGCCACCUCCUCUAUCUGGCUUUCACACUUCCAGGAGGCAGCCUUCCUCUGCCCCAAUCCCAGGAUGACUCGGGGCUGACAGUACAGCACCUGUAUUCAAGCCCUCUGACCCUAAACCUGCUGGGCCUCCAUUCCUUCCCCAGAAACCACAGGGAGGGCUUGGCCCGGGCUUUCCCCUCCCAGGCGCCUCCCAACUGGCCUGGUGCUUGCUGCACCCCCUGCUUCCAGGGAUCUCCUCCUUGCACCUCACCGUCUGUGCCUGUGACAGAUCCUCAGCAUUUCCAAGGCCCCCGGCAUGAGUUGGCUGGAGGGCCACAGCUGGUUCAUUUACCUUUGCCUUGA
rnacentral:lncRNA from 13 species